AAAGCAGGUCGCAAUUACAGUGCUUCAUUUUGUGGGAGUACUGCCAUUAUCCUGCUGAAAGAAAAGCCAUGUUGAUCGUUUCUGAUUUUGCCUUCCUGGGGGUAAAAUCAUGACACUUUGACACGGACAGCA
rnacentral:snoRNA from 1 species